AGUGAACGCUGGCGGUAGGCCUAACACAUGCAAGUCGAACGGCAGCACAGAGGAGCUUGCUCCUUGGGUGGCGAGUGGCGGACGGGUAAGGAAUACAUCGGAAUCUCCUCUGUCGUGGGGGAUAACGUAGGGAAAAUUACGCUAAUACCGAAUACGACCUACGGGUGAAGGCAGGGGACCUUCGGCCCUUGCGCGAUUGAAUUAGCCGAUGUCGGAUUAGCUAGUUGGCGGGGUAAAGGACCGCCAAGUCGACGAUCCGUAGCUGGUCUGAGAGGAUGAUCAGCCACACUGGAACUGAGACACGGUACAGACUCCUACGGGAGGCAGCAGUGGGGAAUAUUGGACAAUGGGCGCAAGCCUGAUCCAGCCAUACCGCGUGGGUGAAGAAGGCCUUCGGGUUGUAAAGCCCUUUUGUUGGGAAAGAAAUCCAGCUGGCUAAUACCCGGUUGGGAUGACGGUACCCAAAGAAUAAGCACCGGCUAACUUCGUGCCAGCCGCCGCAGUAA
rnacentral:rRNA from 1 species